AAUUGUUCGCAAUGGGCGCAAGCCUGACGACGCAACGCCGCGUGGAGGAUGAAGGUCUUCGGAUUGUAAACUCCUGUUGCCCGGGACGAAAAGCUUCGACCUAACACGUCGGAGUCUGACGGUACCGGGUGAGGAAGCCCCGGCUCACUCUGUGCCAGCAGCCGCGGUAAUACAGAGGGGGCAAGCGUUGUUCGGAAUUACUGGGCGUGAAGGGCGCGUAGGCGGCCUGCUAAGUCGAACGUGAAAUCCCUGGGCUCAACCCAGGAACUGCGUUCGAUACUGGUUGGCUUGAAUCCGGGAGAGGGAUGCGGAAUUCCAGGUGUAGCGGUGAAAUGCGUAGAUAUCUGGAGGAACACCGGUGGCGAAGGCGGCAUCCUGGACCGGCAUUGACGCUGAGGCGCGAAAGCCAGGGGAGCAAACGGG
rnacentral:rRNA from 1 species